AGUGAACGCUGGCGGUAGGCCUAACACAUGCAAGUCGAACGGCAGCACAGUAAGAGCUUGCUCUUACGGGUGGCGAGUGGCGGACGGGUGAGGAAUACAUCGGAAUCUACUUUUUCGUGGGGGAUAACGUAGGGAAACUUACGCUAAUACCGCAUACGACCUACGGGUGAAAGCAGGGGAUCUUCGGACCUUGCGCGAUUGAAUGAGCCGAUGUCGGAUUAGCUAGUUGGCGGGGUAAAGGCCCACCAAGGCGACGAUCCGUAGCUGGUCUGAGAGGAUGAUCAGCCACACUGGAACUGAGACACGGUCCAGACUCCUACGGGAGGGAGCAGUGGGGAAUAUUGGACAAUGGGCGCAAGCCUGAUCCAGCCAUACCGCGUGGGUGAAGAAGGCCUUCGGGUUGUAAAGCCCUUUUGUUGGGAAAGAAAAGCAGCAGGUUAAUACCACGCUGUUCUGACGGUACCCAAAGAAUAAGCACCGGCUAACUUCGUG
rnacentral:rRNA from 1 species